UACGUAGGGGGCAAGCGUUGUCCGGAUUUAUUGGGCGUAAAGAGCGUGUAGGCGGCCAUACAGGUCAGCUGUGAAAACUCGAGGCUCAACCUCGAGACGUCGGUUGAAACCGUAUGGCUAGAGUCCGGAAGAGGAGAGUGGAAUUCCCGGUGUAGCGGUGAAAUUCGUAGAUAUCGGGAGGAACACCUGUGGCGAAGGCGGCUUUCUGGGCCUUACCUGACGCUGAGACGCGAAAGCGUGGGGAGCGAACCGG
rnacentral:rRNA from 1 species